rnacentral:rRNA from 1 species
GAUGAACGCUGGCGGCGUGCCUAAUACAUGCAAGUCGAGCGAACAGACGAGGAGCUUGCUCCUCUGACGUUAGCGGCGGACGGGUGAGUAACACGUGGAUAACCUACCUAUAAGACUGGGAUAACUUCGGGAAACCGGAGCUAAUACCGGAUAAUAUUUUGAACCGCAUGGUUCAAUAGUGAAAGACGGUUUUGCUUUCACUUAUAGAUGGAUCCGCGCCGCAUUAGCUACUUGGUAAGGUAACGGCUUAUCAAGGCGACAAUGCGUGGCCGACCUGGGAGGGUGGUCGGCCACACUGGAACUGAAACACGGUCCAGACUCCUACGGGAGGCAGCAGUAGGGAAUCUUCCGCAAUGGGCGAAAGCCUGACGGAGCAACGCCGCGUGAGUGAUGAAGGUCUUCGGAUCGUAAAACUCUGUUAUUAGGGAAGAACAAAUGUGUAAGUAACUAUGCACGUCUUGACGGUACCUAAUCAGAAAGCCACGGCUAACUACGUG